GCAUCCGAUCCUUGAGAACUCAACAGCGUGCACAAUGUCAAAUGCCAAAAACCUCGUACAUCUUCGGAUGUAGGAGAUUCCUUUGGAAAACAUUUAAACAACAAAGCAAGUCAGUAAUGAUUUGUUCUGUCAGUUUCAAACUUGCUUCGGUGUCCGCCUAUUCCGGUGGUGCUGAGGCGCAAAAUGUGUCAGUCGCUUCGGUGGCUGGCUAUUAAACAUUUACGGAGAGUUUGAUCCUGGCUCAGGACGAACGCUGGCGGCGUGCUUAACACAUGCAAGUCGAACGAUGAAAGAGGGAGCUUGCUUCUUCUGGAUUAGUGGCGAACGGGUGAGUAACACGUGAGCAAUCUGCCCUUGACUCUGGGAUAAGCGUUGGAAACGACGUCUAAUACCGGAUACGACCCUCGGAGGCAUCUCCUGGGGGUGGAAAGAAUUUUGGUCAAGGAUGAGCUCGCGGCCUAUCAGCUAGUUGGUGAGGUAAUGGCUCACCAAGGCGACGACGGGUAGCCGGCCUGAGAGGGUGACCGGCCACACUGGGACUGAGACACGGCCCAGACUCCUACGGGAGGCAGCAGUGGGGAAUAUUGCACAAUGGGCGAAAGCCUGAUGCAGCAACGCCGCGUGAGGGAUGACGGCCUUCGGGUUGUAAACCUCUUUUAGUAGGGAAGAAGCGAAAGUGACGGUACCUGCAGAAAAAGCACCGGCUAACUACGUGCCAGCAGCCGCGGUAAUACGUAGGGUGCAAGCGUUGUCCGGAAUUAUUGGGCGUAAAGAGCUCGUAGGCGGUUUGUCGCGUCUGCUGUGAAAUCUGGGGGCUCAACCCCCAGCCUGCAGUGGGUACGGGCAGACUAGAGUGCGGUAGGGGAGAUUGGAAUUCCUGGUGUAGCGGUGGAAUGCGCAGAUAUCAGGAGGAACACCGAUGGCGAAGGCAGAUCUCUGGGCCGUAACUGACGCUGAGGAGCGAAAGCAUGGGGAGCGAACAGGAUUAGAUACCCUGGUAGUCCAUGCCGUAAACGUUGGGAACUAGAUGUGGGGACCAUUCCACGGUCUCCGUGUCGCAGCUAACGCAUUAAGUUCCCCGCCUGGGGAGUACGGCCGCAAGGCUAAAACUCAAAGGAAUUGACGGGGGCCCGCACAAGCGGCGGAGCAUGCGGAUUAAUUCGAUGCAACGCGAAGAACCUUACCAAGACUUGACAUAUACGAGAACGGGCCAGAAAUGGUCAACUCUUUGGACACUCGUAAACAGGUGGUGCAUGGUUGUCGUCAGCUCGUGUCGUGAGAUGUUGGGUUAAGUCCCGCAACGAGCGCAACCCUCGUCCUAUGUUGCCAGCACGUAAUGGUGGGAACUCAUGGGAUACUGCCGGGGUCAACUCGGAGGAAGGUGGGGAUGACGUCAAAUCAUCAUGCCCCUUAUGUCUUGGGCUUCACGCAUGCUACAAUGGCCGGUACAAAGGGCUGCGAUACCGUAAGGUGGAGCGAAUCCCAAAAAGCCGGUCUCAGUUCGGAUUGAGGUCUGCAACUCGACCUCAUGAAGUCGGAGUCGCUAGUAAUCGCAGAUCAGCAACGCUGCGGUGAAUACGUUCCCGGGCCUUGUACACACCGCCCGUCAAGUCAUGAAAGUCGGUAACACCCGAAGCCGGUGGCCUAACCCCUUGUGGGAAGGAGCUGUCGAAGGUGGGAUCGGUGAUUAGGACUAAGUCGUAACAAGGUAGCCGUACCGGAAGGUGCGGCUGGAUCACCUCCUUUCU
rnacentral:rRNA from 1 species